GACAGAGGCCUCGAGCGUUAGGCGGAAUCACUGGGCUUAAAGCGUGUGUAGGCGGAUCGUUAAGUGUCUUGUGAAAUCCCACGGCUCACCCGUGGAACUGCUGGGCAUACUGGCGAUCUUGGGCCAACUAGGGGCAACUGGAACAAGCGGUGGAGCGGUGAAAUGCGUAGAUAUCGCUUGGAACGCCGAAGGUGAAAACAGGUUGCUGGGGUUGUGCCGACGCUGAGACACGAAAGCCAGGGGAGCAAACGGG
rnacentral:rRNA from 1 species